GACGAACGCUGGCGGCGUGCUUAACACAUGCAAGUCGAACGGAAAGGCCCUGCUUGCAGGGUGCUCGAGUGGCGAACGGGUGAGUAACACGUGGGUGAUCUGCCCCUUACUUUGGGAUAAGCCUGGGAAACUGGGUCUAAUACUGGAUAGGACCAUGCUGUAGGUGGUGUGGUGGAAAGAUUAGUUUCGGUAAGGGAUGAGCUCGCGGCCUAUCAGCUUGUUGGUGGGGUAAUGGCCUACCAAGGCGUCGACGGGUAGCCGGCCUGAGAGGGUGGACGGCCACAUUGGGACUGAGAUACGGCCCAGACUCCUACGGGAGGCAGCAGUGGGGAAUAGUGCACAAUAGGCGCAAGCCUGAUGCAGCGACGCCGCGUGGGGGAUGACGGCCUUCGGGUUGUAAACUCCUUUCAGCCAUGACGAAGCCCUUGUGGUGACGGUAGUGGUAGAAGAAGCACCGGCUAACUACGUG
rnacentral:rRNA from 1 species